UGAACGCUGGCGGCGUGCCUAAUACAUGCAAUUCGAGCGAACAGAUGAGGAGCUUGCUCCUCUGACGUUAGCGGCGGACGGGUGAGUAACACGUGGAUAACCUACCUAUAAGACUGGGAUAACUUCGGGAAACCGGAGCUAAUACCGGAUAAUAUAUUGAACCGCAUGGUUCAAUAGUGAAAGACGGUUUUGCUGUCACUUAUAGAUGGAUCCGCGCCGCAUUAGCUAGUUGGUAAGGUAACGGCUUACCAAGGCAACGAUGCGUAGCCGACCUGAGAGGGUGAUCGGCCACACUGGAACUGAGACACGGUCCAGACUCCUACGGGAGGCAGCAGUAGGGAAUCUUCCGCAAUGGGCGAAAGCCUGACGGAGCAACGCCGCGUGAGUGAUGAAGGUCUUCGGAUCGUAAAACUCUGUUAUUAGGGAAGAACAAAUGUGUAAGUAACUAUGCACGUCUUGACGGUACCUAAUCAGAAAGCCACGGCUAACUACGUG
rnacentral:rRNA from 1 species